rnacentral:rRNA from 1 species
UGCAGUCGAGCGCAGGAAGCAAGUUGAUCCCCUUCGGGGGUGACGCUUGUGGAAUGAGCGGCGGACGGGUGAGUAACACGUGGGCAACCUGCCUGUAAGACUGGGAUAACCCCGGGAAACCGGGGCUAAUACCGGAUAAUACUUUCUUUUGCAUAAAGGAAAGUUGAAAGGCGGCUUCGGCUGUCACUUACAGAUGGGCCCGCGGCGCAUUAGCUAGUUGGUGAGGUAACGGCUCACCAAGGCGACGAUGCGUAGCCGACCUGAGAGGGUGAUCGGCCACACUGGGACUGAGACACGGCCCAGACUCCUACGGGAGGCAGCAGUAGGGAAUCUUCCGCAAUGGACGAAAGUCUGACGGAGCAACGCCGCGUGAGUGAUGAAGGUUUUCGGAUCGUAAAACUCUGUUGUUAGGGAAGAACAAGUUGGAUAGUAACUGACCCAACCUUGACGGUACCUAACCAGAAAGCCACGGCUAACUACGUGCCAGCAGCCGCGGUAAUACGUAGGUGGCAAGCGUUGUCCGGAAUUAUUGGGCGUAAAGCGCUCGCAGGCGGUCCUUUAAGUCUGAUGUGAAAUCUCGCGGCUCAACCGCGAACGGUCAUUGGAAACUGGAGGACUUGAGUACAGAAGAGGAGAGUGGAAUUCCACGUGUAGCGGUGAAAUGCGUAGAGAUGUGGAGGAACACCAGUGGCGAAGGCGACUCUCUGGUCUGUAACUGACGCUGAGGAGCGAAAGCGUGGGGAGCGAACAGGAUUAGAUACCCUGGUAGUCCACGCCGUAAACGAUGAGUGCUAGGUGUUAGGGGGUUUCCGCCCCUUAGUGCUGAAGUUAACGCAUUAAGCACUCCGCCUGGGGAGUACGGCCGCAAGGCUGA